GGGUUGUGAGGUUAAGCGACUAAGCGUACACGGUGGAUGCCCUGGCAGUCAGAGGCGAUGAAGGACGUGCUAAUCUGCGAUAAGCGUCGGUGAGGUGAUAUGAACCGUUAUAACCGGCGAUUUCCGAAUGGGGAAACCCAGUGUGUUUCGACACACUAUCAUUAACUGAAUCCAUAGGUUAAUGAGGCGAACCGGGGGAACUGAAACAUCUAAGUACCCCGAGGAAAAGAAAUCAACCGAGAUUCCCCCAGUAGCGGCGAGCGAACGGGGAGGAGCCCAGAGCCUGAAUCAGUGUGUGUGUUAGUGGAAGCGUCUGGAAAGGCGCGCGAUACAGGGUGACAGCCCCGUACACAAAAAUGCACAUACUGUGAGCUCGAUGAGUAGGGCGGGACACGUGGUAUCCUGUCUGAAUAUGGGGGGACCAUCCUCCAAGGCUAAAUACUCCUGACUGACCGAUAGUGAACCAGUACCGUGAGGGAAAGGCGAAAAGAACCCCGGCGAGGGGAGUGAAAAAGAACCUGAAACCGUGUACGUACAAGCAGUGGGAGCCUCUUAAUGGGGUGACUGCGUACCUUUUGUAUAAUGGGUCAGCGACUUAUAUUCUGUAGCAAGGUUAACCGAAUAGGGGAGCCGAAGGGAAACCGAGUCUUAACUGGGCGUUAAGUUGCAGGGUAUAGACCCGAAACCCGGUGAUCUAGCCAUGGGCAGGUUGAAGGUUGGGUAACACUAACUGGAGGACCGAACCGACUAAUGUUGAAAAAUUAGCGGAUGACUUGUGGCUGGGGGUGAAAGGCCAAUCAAACCGGGAGAUAGCUGGUUCUCCCCGAAAGCUAUUUAGGUAGCGCCUCGUGAAUUCAUCUCCGGGGGUAGAGCACUGUUUCGGCAAGGGGGUCAUCCCGACUUACCAACCCGAUGCAAACUGCGAAUACCGGAGAAUGUUAUCACGGGAGACACACGGCGGGUGCUAACGUCCGUCGUGAAGAGGGAAACAACCCAGACCGCCAGCUAAGGUCCCAAAGUCAUGGUUAAGUGGGAAACGAUGUGGGAAGGCCCAGACAGCCAGGAUGUUGGCUUAGAAGCAGCCAUCAUUUAAAGAAAGCGUAAUAGCUCACUGGUCGAGUCGGCCUGCGCGGAAGAUGUAACGGGGCUAAACCAUGCACCGAAGCUGCGGCAGCGACACUAUGUGUUGUUGGGUAGGGGAGCGUUCUGUAAGC
rnacentral:rRNA from 1 species